rnacentral:lncRNA from 1 species
ACAACAGCGGGUCAGAUAUUCCCAGGCCACCUCUAAAUUCUAAUGCCUAUGCCCGUCCUCAGCCAAUAUAUCAGCAGCCUCCUUCAAUGUACAGUAACAGAGGACCAAUAGCAAAAAAUGAAGCUGCCCCAAGGAUAAUGCCUAUUUCUGCUCUGAACCCUUACCAAGGUAGGUGGACAAUAAAGGCUCGAGUUACUUCAAAAGGAGAACUUAGACACUACAACAAUCCUCGUGGUGACGGGAAAGUAUUUUCAUUUGAUUUACUCGAUGCUUACCGUGGAGAAAUACGAGUAACAUGCUUCAAUACAGUAGCUGAUCAGUUUUACAACCAAAUUGAAUCUGGUAAAGUCUACUUCAUUUCUAAAGGAAGCCUGAAACCUGCUCAAAAGAACUUUAACCAUCUCAAAAAUGACUAUGAAAUAUUUCUUGAAAACACAUCAACAAUCCAACCUUGCUUUGAGGAUGACCAAUCAAUCCCCCAGCAGCAGUUUCAUUUCCAUCAGAUUGGUGAGAUUGAAGGCAUGGACAGCAACAGUGUUGUAGAUGUAAUUGGUGUUGUUUCUUCCAUUAAUCCUGCAACUUCUUUGAUGAGAAAAAAU